AACGAACGCUGGCGGCAUGCCUUACACAUGCAAGUCGAACGGCAGCGCGGGGCAACCUGGCGGCGAGUGGCGAACGGGUGAGUAAUAUACCUCGGAACAUACCCUAGAGUGGGGGAUAACGUAGCGAAAGUUACGCUAAUACCGCAUACGAACUAAGGUUGAAAGCGGGGGAUCUUCGGACCUCGUGCUCAUGGAGUGGCCGAUAUCUGAUUAGCUAGUUGGUGAGGUAAAGGCUCACCAAGGCGACGAUCAGUAGCUGGUUUGAGAGAACGACCAGCCACACUGGAACUGAGACACGGUCCAGACUCCUACGGAGGCAGCAGUGGGGAAUUUUGGACAAUGGGCGCAAGCCUGAUCCAGCAAUGCCGCGUGAGUGAAGAAGGCCU
rnacentral:rRNA from 1 species